GGGGCUGUAGCUCAGCUGGGAGAGCGCUUGAAUGGCAUUCAAGAGGUCAGGGGUUCGAUCCCCCUCAGCUCCA
rfam:Deltaproteobacteria bacterium RBG_16_54_11 RBG_16_scaffold_6338, whole genome shotgun sequence.